rnacentral:piRNA from 1 species
UGAGUCCCAGUGGUCAGAGCAUGC